rnacentral:rRNA from 1 species
AUGCACGGUGCCGCAGCCACCUGGACGCCCCGGAAGCAGGUGGUGCUGUACCCGUCGCCCGGGAUGGGCCACCUGGUCUCCAUGAUCGAGCUCGGCAAGGUGCUCGCGGCUCGCGGCCUCGCCAUCACCAUCGUCAUCGUGAGCCUGCCGUUCGUCGACACCGGCGCCAGGGGGCCGUUCCUGGCCGGCGUCACCGCGGCCAAUCCCUCCGUCUCCUUCCACUGCCUCCCGCAGGUCGACGUCCCGCCGCUCGACUCGGACCACCCCGAGGCGGUCACCUACGAGGUCGCCGGCCUCUCCAUCCCGCACCUCCGCGGCUUUCUCGCCGGCGCCUCCCCGGCCGUCCUCGUCGUCGACUUCUUCUGCAGCAUCGCGCUCGACGUCGCCGCGGAGCUCGGCGUCCCAGGGUACUGUUUCUUCACGUCUCCCGCGGAGGUCCUGGCUUUUUCCCUGUAUUUGCCGGUCCUGCAUGCUCGGAGCGCGGCCAGCUUUCGGGAGAUGGGGGAAGAGCUCGUGCACGUGCCGGGCAUCCCCGCGCUGCCGGCGACUCACUUCCCCAAGCCGCUCAUGGACCGUGACGACCCGGCAUACAUAUGGUCGCUGAGAGUGUCCCCCGACCUCUGCCGCUCCCAGGGAAUCAUCGUCAACACCUUCCGCUCGCUCGAGCCACGCGCCGUGGACGCCAUCGCCGCCGGGCUCUGCACGCCCCCCGGCCUACCUACGCCCUCAGUCUACUGCAUCGGGCCGCUGAUAAAGUCGGAGGAGGUGGGCGUGAAGCGCGGCCACGAGUGCCUGGCGUGGCUGGACGCGCAGCCGACGGCCAGCGUGGUGUUCCUUUGCUUCGGCAGCCUCGGCGUGUUCAACGCAGAGCAGAUCAGACAGGUAGCCAUCGGCCUGGAGGCAAGCGGCAAGAGGUUCCUGUGGGUCGUGCGGAGCCCGCCCAACAAUGACCCGGCGAAGAGGUUCGAGGAGCCGCCGGAGCCGGACCUCGACGCGCUCCUUCCGGAGGGCUUCCUGGACCGGACCAAGGCCACAGGCCUCGUCGUCAAGUCAUGGGCGCCGCAGCGGGACGUGCUGGCGCACGGCGCCGUGGGCGGUUUCGUGACGCACUGCGGGUGGAACUCCGUGCUCGAGGCGGUCAUGGCCGGCGUGCCCAUGCUGGCCUGGCCGCUGUACGCGGAGCAGCGGAUGAACAGAGUGUUCCUGGAAGAGGAGCUGGGUCUGGCCGUGGCCGUGGAUGGAUAUGACACGGAGGUGGUGGACGCCGAUGAAGUGGCGGCAAAGGUGAGGUGGUUGAUGGACUCCGACGGCGGGAGGGUGCUUCGGGAGCGGACGACGGCGGCUAUGGGAAGGGCCAGGGAGGCACUACGCGAGGGUGGAGAGUCGAAUUUGACGUUGACUCGACUGGUGCAGGUCUGGAUGCUUGGCAACAUUGAAGAUGACGCGGGUUCCACGAGAUAG